rnacentral:rRNA from 1 species
AGUGAACGCUGGCGGUAGGCCUAACACAUGCAAGCCGAACGGCAGCACAGUAAGAGCUUGCUCUUACGGGUGGCGAGUGGCGGACGGGUGAGGAAUACAUCGGAAUCUACUUUUUCGUGGGGGAUAACGUAGGGAAACUUACGCUAAUACCGCAUACGACCUACGGGUGAAAGCAGGGGAUCUUCGGACCUUGCGCGAUUGAAUGAGCCGAUGUCGGAUUAGCUAGUUGGCGGGGUAAAGGCCCACCAAGGCGACGAUCCGUAGCUGGUCUGAGAGGAUGAUCAGCCACACUGGAACUGAGACACGCUCCAGACUCCUACGGGAGGCAGCAGUGGGGAAUAUUGGACAAUGGGCGCAAGACUGAUCCAGCCAUACCGCGUGGGUGAAGAAGGCCUUCGGGUUGUAAAGCCCUUUUGUUGGGAAAGAAAAGCAGCAGGUUAAUACCCCGCUGUUCUGACGGUACCCAAAGAAUAAGCACCGGCUAACUUCGUG